UGAGGGCUGCUCUCAGUCUCUGCUCUGCAGGAGCAGCUCAACUGCCCCGUGGUCUUCUCUGAGUGUGGGAAGUGAAGAUGCAAGCACCACCCAGGUCUGAAGCCCUUGGAGAUAGAGCUGACAUGGCCUGGUAGGGCCAGAGUGACCCAACUGCCCAUUCAGAGUGGGAAAGAAGACUGCUAAGCUGAUAUAAUGAGAUAAUAUCCUUCACUGGCAUAAGUAAGGCUACGAGAUGGACUGCUACCCACAUUGGUUUAACUUUAUUCCCAAGCAUCUCUGUCAUCUCCCCUCCAGAACUGCAGAUGGAUGGCAAUGGGGGUUACAGCCAGUUCUUCACUGCUGCUGC